GGCAAAGAGGUCAUAAGAGCCAAUAUCCAACUCACACAAAGAUCUAUGGACGUGGUACAGGAAGAUCUAGGAAAUUGGAAUAAAAUGGCUCCCUCACUUUUUAAGAAAAUCCCACCACUUAAUGUAGAUUUGGAUACAUUAUUUAAAAGAAAUAAUCGAAGGGUUAUGCAAUUGCAAGAGCUGGUGAAGGAAAAUGUAGCUAGC